rnacentral:rRNA from 1 species
GUUUGACCUCAAAUCAGGUAGGAAUACCCGCUGAACUUAAGCAUAUCAAUAAGCGGAGGAAAAGAAACCAACCGGGAUUGCCUUAGUAACGGCGAGUGAAGCGGCAAAAGCUCAAAUUUGAAAUCUGGCGUCUUCGACGUCCGAGUUGUAAUUUGAAGAAGGCAACUUUGUAGCUGGUCCUUGUCUAUGUUCCUUGGAACAGGACGUCAUAGAGGGUGAGAAUCCCGUGUGGCGAGGAUCCCAGUUAUUUGUAAAGUGCUUUCGACGAGUCGAGUUGUUUGGGAAUGCAGCUCUAAGUGGGUGGUAAAUUCCAUCUAAAGCUAAAUAUUGGCGAGAGACCGAUAGCGAACAAGUACAGUGAUGGAAAGAUGAAAAGAACUUUGAAAAGAGAGUGAAAAAGUACGUGAAAUUGUUGAAAGGGAAGGGCAUUUGAUCAGACAUGGCGUUUGCUUCGGCUUUCGCUGGGCCAGCAUCAGUUUUAGCGGUUGGAUAAAUCCUCGGGAAUGUGGCUCUGCUUCGGUAGAGUGUUAUAGCCCGUGGGAAUACAGCCAGCUGGGACUGAGGAUUGCGAC